rnacentral:rRNA from 1 species
UGCGCCCGAAGCCUUCCGGCCAAGGGCACGUCUGCCUGGGUGUCACGCAACCAUUGCUCCCAACCCUCUUGAAACAUCAAGGGGCACGGUGGCGGAUGUUGGCCUCCCGUAUGCCGUGAGGCAUGCGGUUGGCCCAAAAGUAGAGUUCCCGGCGACGGUCGCCACGAAAUUCGGUGGUUGUAAGACCCUCUGACACAGUCGUGAACGAUCGUAUGCCAUAAGGGACCCCCGAGACCCUGAUGCAGGCCUUGAAGGCGUGCUCCAAUCGCGACCCCAGGUCAGGCGGGAUUACCCGCUGAGUUUA